rnacentral:misc_RNA from 1 species
GAUGAAGAACGUAGCGAAAUGUGAUAAGUAAUGUGAAUUGCAGAAUUCAGUGAAUCAUCGAAUCUUUGAACGCACAUUGCGCCCGCCAGUAUUCUGGCGGGCAUGCCUGUUCGAGCGUCAUUACAACCCUCAGGCCCCCGGGCCUGGCGUUGGGGAUCGGCGGAAGCCCCCUGUGGGCACACGCCGUCCCUCAAAUACAGUGGCGGUCCCGCCGCAGCUUCCAUUGCGUAGUAGCUAACACCUCGCAACUGGAGAGCGGCGCGGCCAUGCCGUAAAACACCCAACUUCUGAAUGUUGACCUCGAAUCAGGUAGGAAUACCCGCUGAACUUAAGCAUAUCAAUAAGCGGAGGA